rnacentral:sRNA from 12 species
GAAGUGCGAACCAAGCGUGCGCCGCCCUAGCGCUGUGAGUCUUGGAGCGGAUAGCCGUAAGGCUGUCCUGCA